UACGUAGGUGGCAAGCGUUGUCCGGAUUUAUUGGGCGUAAAGCGCGCGCAGGCGGGAUGGUAAGUCUGUCUUAAAAGUUCGGGGCUCAACCCCGUGAUGGGACAGAAACUAUCAUUCUUGAGUAUCGGAGAGGAAAGUGGAAUUCCUAGUGUAGCGGUGAAAUGCGUAGAUAUUAGGAGGAACACCAGUGGCGAAGGCGACUUUCUGGACGAUGUCUGACGCUGAGGCGCGAAAGCCAGGGUAGUGAACGGGAUUAGAUACCCCGGUAAUCCUGGCCGUAAACGAUGGGUACUAGGUGUUGGGGGUAUCGACCCCUCCAGUGCCGGAGUUAACGCAAUAAGUACCCCGCCUGGGGAGUACGGCCGCAAGGUUG
rnacentral:rRNA from 1 species